AUCAGAGGGUGGAGCUAACCAUAGAGGCCAAGCAGUGGUGGCUCACACCUUUAAUCCCAGCACUUGAGAGGUGGAAACGAGAUUCCCCCAUUUCCAGCUGAGUAACCGGCGCAGAGACUACAACAGCAGACAGGACACAGCCUGAUCGUGAGGAACAUCCAGGAAAAUGGCCAUAAACAAGCUUGCAGAAAUGAGCUUCAGGUAUAGCAACACUUCAGUCCAAGACAACUGCGUAAUCCACAGACAUCACAGCUAAGCUGUUUACUUCACUGAGCCACGGCGACAAGAUUUGAAGCAAAACGGGUCAGCAGACGUGGUUUCAAGUCCCAACUAUCACCAUCAUUAUGCAGUCCUGGGAAAACCGUGUCCCUUCUCCGAUUUCCAUAAAAUAACAGGGAUGACAUUCAGCCAUGCCUAACAUCUGUCUUUUCUGGGAAAUUCAGUAAAUCCUUUAAGGCAGUU